CUGAACUGGAAAAUUCUGUGGGCAGCGCUGAAAGCAGGAGCUGCGAAUUCCAGCUGCCAGCGUUUCUCCGUGGUCGCCCUUCCUUCUGCCGUGAUGGUACAGGACAGACGGAAAGAAUCCGGAGUGCUCUGCGAGUACGAGGCGAUUGAGGUCAAAGAGGAGACAUGGACAAAACGGGACAAACGGGCAUCGCCUCUCUGUGUUCUCCAGGCUUUGCCGUGAAGCAGCAGCAGCGUUUAACUCGUGACGGCGAAUCCUGUGGUUUUGGUUGUGGUUUUGG